UGCAAGUCGAACGCAAUCUUUUAACAAUGAGUGCUUGCACUCAGCGUUUUAAGUGCGAGUGGCGAACGGGUGAGUAACACGUGGGCAAUCUGCCCAAAAGUGGGGGAUAACACUUGGAAACAGGUGCUAAUACCGCAUCAACCGGCUGACCGCAUGGUCGGCCGGGCAAAGACGGCGUCAGCUGUCGCUUUUGGAUGGACCCGCGGCGUAUUAGCUAGUUGGUAAGGUAACGGCUUACCAAGGCAAUGAUGCAUAGCCGAGUUGAGAGACUGAUCGGCCACAAUGGGACUGAGACACGGCCCAUACUCCUACGGGAGGCAGCAGUAGGGAAUCUUCCACAAUGGACGCAAGUCUGAUGGAGCAACGCCGCGUGUAUGAAGAAGGUCUUCGGAUCGUAAAAUACUGUUGUCAGAGAAGAACGGCACUGAGAGUAACUGUUCAGUGUGUGACGGUAUCUUACCAGAAAGGAACGGCUAACUAC
rnacentral:rRNA from 1 species